rnacentral:rRNA from 1 species
UUUUAUGGAGAGUUUGAUCCUGGCUCAGGACGAACGCUGGCGGCGUGCUUAACACAUGCAAGUCGAACGGU